GCAAGGUUUUCUAUCUGUUUCCAUGGGUUGAAGAAAGAUAAGAGAAGGUAAAAAGCUAUGCACAGAGCUGAGAUUCACAGAAAACCCCUCAGAAGAACCCCCACUAAAGCCACUGGCUGCAUAUGUUAUUGCUGUAGCAGCAUUGUGUCUUUCAUGUGUUAAGCAACAAAUGAAACAUCAUCAGCCCACCAGGAAAAGGCGUACUAAUAAUGUGAGCCUUUGGACUUUCCUUGCUAGUUAUGGAUGGGAAAGUAACUUGAUGGCUGCCAAAAAGCACUGAAAGACCUGUGUUCAUGUCCACAAUCAAGCCAGGUGAUUUCAUCAAUCUAAAUGCCUGAACUUGUAUGAAAAAUGACACCUCUCUGUCUGGAAAUAAUUGUUAAAGGAGGAAGGACCCAGGUGCUCUUUAGGAAGCAGACAGGAAGACAUGAAUUGGUAAACUAAUAGAAGCUUUGGAAAACUUCUGUAAAGAGAUCAGGAUGCACUGCCGACAUCAUUACACUUGGGUCCUACCUAGAUGAAGUGCAGAGAACUUUCUGUGCUACGAAGAGGCCCACAGCACAACCAAAGGAUGUGAGGAAAACUGCCUGUACAGGGAGAACAUCAGUUCUUUUCCCUCCCCACUGAACAUCCUGCGUCCUCCCCUCAGGGCUCAUGACAGCUCAGUGGAGAAGAGCUGUGCUUGCCAGUUAUGUUAAAAACUAAUGCUCGGUCCUCUGAGGUACCCACUGACUUUGACCGGUGUUACAAGCCACCUGGUGAUGGGCUGUAGUAGAAAAAGCAGUUGCCACUGGAGGUGAACACAAGGUGAGAUAAAAACUGAACAAAAAUAUGGCAUUGUUCUUUUUAAACUGCAAAUUCAAGUCCAAGGUGUGAACAAGAUAACCUUCAAAUAAUAAAUGGGCAGACAAAUCUUUUGGAUGCACUGAGAGCGCUAUUUCGGAAGACAUAACCGCAAGCCGGCGUGAGUUAGAUAUAGUGAUUGCAUAGAUGUAGACUGCCCCAGCUACAUGUAUUUUCAAAACCACGGCAGAGCAUUUCAUGAAGAGCGCUGUUAUCUUUUCACUGCCUAAGUUAAUUUUACUUUUUGAGGCUCUCCCAAUGUCUCAGCUCACAGGACAGUAUGUCAAGAAAAAUUUUCAGUUCUUCUUAUGGCACAUGCUUCUGGUGGAGAUUUUCUUUUUCUCUUACAGAAAUUAAGAAGCUCAUUUCUCUAUGGUGUAAUUUGGGUGGCAGAGGUCAAGGUGGGAGGGAAGGAACUCCAAAGGAAAUAACACCCUCUUCAUAAUAACCAUUAGCCACACAGACUCAGCUACAAAGAAUCUCAGCUGGUUAAACUGCUUACAUUUCUCUCAAGUUAACAGCAGAAUAGCCAAGUAGAAAUCAUUCCCCAGAUGUUACAAGUGCUCAGAAAUCUGUUUGAAACUAUCUCUAAAUACUUUACACUUCUUAUAAAUUCAUAUCUUGAUCCCAGAAGAAGAUCCAGUGCGCUCACCAUGGACUAAUAAACAUUUAGAAAAGUUAAAUUACUUAGAGAUAGUUAAGUAUCAUACAAAUAUGUGUAAACACUCCCCAGCAUAAAAUCCAACCUGCAGAGGUCUUUGCCAAUUUAAUUGCAUUUUGGUUCACCCAUUUAAUAAAGAGGAUUUUUUUUUAACCUCUGCAGUUCCAAACAGAACUUCAGAUUCUGUUACAAUAGAGUGGAGGAAGAGAAGUCUUAAACCAGGGGCAUUUAGUCACCUGCAGAGUGAGAGAGAUUGAAAAGGAAAAGGGAUUUACUGCCUUCUAGAUCAGUUUGUAGGCAAUUUGAAUUCCUCUUAAAUCAAUUUCUGCAUAAGACUAGUGGUUUGAAAUGACACAAAAUG